ACUUUGAGACGCUGAAGCUAAUGCUUACCGCUACAUUACGCCCACAGUUCAACGAGGCUCGUUUAGAUGAUAUAUUAAAUUAUAUAUAUUUUAUAAUAAUUGCUCUAAACUCGCGUGUGACGGUGAAGUUGUUUGUGUGAUGGAGAAAUGACUUCCGGGUUCCUCGCUGCGAUCAGUAUCCUCACGAAGCCUCUGAACGAGGCGUCUGUGCGUGAUGCUCAGUCCUCCCACCAGGAGGCGCUGCUGGCAGUGCUGCAGAACAACAGAUCCCUUCUCCUUCAGCAGCUUCAGAGUGAGAGCAGCUUCGAGGAGGUGAAGAAGCUGCGGGAGGAGGUGAUGUCAGCGGCGGAGUGGUUGUCCACAGAUCCAGAAGAUGCCACAUGGGGCUUCGUGCAGGAGUGUCUCCUGCUGCUCCUCGCCCUGGCACGACACAUUUCUAAUGAACUCAAACUGUUCAAGCUGAAAAGUUCCUCUGUGGCCAAAAAUGCAACCCCUGAGUUUGCUCCACCUUUACCUCCGGAUGUUCUCAGCGUCACGCAGCAGAAGACGCUCAGAGCAGCUCUUCAGUUCGUCGUCUCUCUGGGGCUCUGCCCCUACCUGGCUUCUGGAGUGGGCGUUCCCCUGAGCUGCCGCUCAGCGUUUGGAGCCAUGGUGGAGAAACUCGUCCGUGGUGGAGCUGUGUCAGCAGGGGGGCGCCGCCUUCUUACCACCACAAACGUCCUGUUGCAGUUGGCAGAGCUGUCAUCUUUGGCCACGCUGGUGUUCACACAGCAUCUGGGGGAUGUGAUGGCGGCACUGUGCCAGCUCGGCUACCAGCCGCACCGGGGGGAGAGAGGGGGCACCGAGGAGGAGAAGAUGCUGGAGCUCAGUGCUGAGGAACGUCGAACCUGCAGGGAGGCUCUGAAAAGCCUUUUAGGAAAAGUCUACCAGCCGAUCGUCAUCAAGCAGCUGCUGAUCCUCCAAGGUGGACCCAGACAGUCGGGUGCAGCAGGAAGCUCCAGCGGUUCAGGCAGCAGAGCAGCUCUGGGAUCAGCUCCGGCCUGGCUGAGGCGUCUGUGUGGUCAGCUGCUGUCUGAGCGCCUGAUGCAGCCUAACGGGGUUCAGGCUGUAGUCAGAGCCGUCCUGGAGGGAGGAACCGGGGGCGAGUCAGACUGGAGGAAGUGUGACGGUGUGGCCAGGAUCUUAGUGGCCUGCCCUCAACAGUCUACCUCAGCAGAUAGUUACUACAGACAAGUCUGUCCUCAGAUCCUCCAGCUCCUGCACUUCAAAGACAAGCUGGCGGCACAACAGUUUCAGCUUGUGGCCACCAGGGCGGCGCUCUCCAUUGUGCAGGAGAAGCCCAGCUUUGCACAUCAGUACCUGCUCACCCCGCUGCUUCAACCUCUUCACCGCUGCACCAGUGCUUCCAAUGAGAGUCGUGACCUUGCUGCUGUGGAGGAGUGGGAGCUGACGCGUUGUGUAGAAGAUGUGUACAAGAUCUGGGUGGUUGGAAACAGUCCAUCAGCGUCUCUUCUCAAAGCUCUAGAGGAAGUUCUGCCCGUUAUCUUCACUCUUUUCUGUUUCACCAAGCAGAACGUCUCUCACCUCCGCGCCCCCUGCCAGGACAUUGUGUUGUGGUACCUGAGCCACACCGAGGCGUCUGAAGCCCUGUCCGCUCUGAGGCAGCUCUCAGGUCUGCAGGGACAGAAAACAGAAGCAAGCGACUUCUACUUCACCCCAGGAAGUGACGGAGGAGCCAGGUUCGACUCGAGAGAGAACUGCAGUGAUGAGGACGACGCUCUGUAUGAGAAGCUGUCGGGGGAACAGUGGAGGCUGGAGUGUCUCAUGCAUUUGUUGGCUGAACUCAAAGAUAGUGAUCUACCUGGAGACUUCUUCCUGGAGCUGCUGCAGGAGCUGACCAGUUGGACGGCUGCUGCAGACGAGGUGAAGAACGACGAAGAGGAGCUGGACGUGUCCACCAUGACGCUCCUGGAGGUGGAGCAGGAGGUGCUGGGUCGAGCUGCGAGACAAAGCCUGAGACUUGCUUUACUUCAGGUGCUGGCAAUGAUGGUUGAGUCUCUGCAGCAUAAUACACUGCUGAGAAAACCCAACCAGGUGGUGGACUUCAUCGUGACCCUGGUCCAAAGGGCCUGUGUGGGUCUGGAUCAGGUCACUGAGCCGAGUCCUGAGAACCCGAUAGAGAGUCAGACUCUGAGCAUGGGGAUCGGUCUGGUGGCCACCCUGCUGUCCGGACCUGAGCUUGGCGCAGAGGACUACUCUUCCAUGUCCAGGCUGCUCUCACCUCUGGAGACACUGUCCCAGAAUCACUCUGACGUGGUCGUCCAGCAGCUGGCAUCGAACCUCAGAGCCGUCAUCGCCACUCACGGUGCCAUCAGGCCUGAAGAUCUCACUGCUGCUGCUGCCCAGGCCUCCAGAAAACCGGAGACAACAGUCAAGAACACCAACGUGUCUUCUAGGAGAAAGCAAAAGAUUCAAACUGAAGGAAGUGACUCAGGUACGAGGCCACGUUCGUCUUCCCAGGACAGAAAUCCACCGAUCAACCCCCUCAUCACACACCCAGUGUCCCCUGGUGGGUCUGUAGCUGGUAAAACUCCACGAGCCGGACGCACCAGUGUCCCAUGCUCCUCGACCAAGCCCUUCUCUGAUUGGCUGCUGGAGGCGUGUGACCCGGAGGUGCCAACCAGAGCGUUCGCCCUGAGGGUCCUGACCCAGAUGGUGCAAAGUGGGAACCCAGAGGUCGUCCAGGCCCAGGAGAAGGUGCUCAUGCUCUUUUUAGAAAACCUGGAGCACGAGGACUCGUUCAUUUACCUUUCAGCCAUUCAAGGUCUGGCUGCGUUGGCGGAUUCGUUUCCUGAGAGGAUCCUUGAAAGGCUCCUGGAGGACUUCCAGCAGGGCCCCUCACUGCCCACGUCCGACCAGGAGCGCUCCCUGGAGACACGCCUCAAAGUGGGAGAGGUCCUGAUGAGGGCGAGCAGAGCCAUGGGGGAGCUGGCGCCGCACCUCGGCCGUCCUCUGGUGGGCGUCUUCCUGCAGGGAACCAGGGACUCGGACCAAAGCGUCCGGGCCAGCAGUCUGUCCAACCUCGGGGAACUCUGCCAGAAACUGGACUACGCUCUGGGACCACUGGCUCAAGAGCUGAGCUUGUGUCUGACAGCUCUGAUAAAGACGGAGAAGGAGGCAGAGGUGAGGAGAGCUGCUGUUCACGUUAUAGCUCUGCUGCUCCGAGGUCUGAGCCACAAAACCACCCAGGUUCUCAGUGAGGUUCUGUUGGAUCUGUACCGAGCUCUGAAGUGGGUUCUGCGCUCGGACCCGGACGACGUCACGGUGCUGCACGCUCAGCUGGCGCUGGAGGAGCUCGAUGUCGUGAUGAGGAGGUUCAUCUUCCCCGAGCAGAAGCUGGAGAAGAAGAUCGUCGUCUUACCGUAGAACUGAAGUUUAUAAACCCGUCCACAGUUUGACCCCACGGAGGAUUUUAUAUUUAUGUGGCGGCUCCGGUUCUGCCUCCACGUGUGAGGUGGACUUUGUGGACACAGAGCAGCAGGAAGACAGAGCAUCAGGAAGACAGAGCAGCAGGAAGAUAGAGCAGCAGGAAGAUAGAGCAGCAGGAAGACAGAGCAGCAGGAAGACAGAGCAGCAGUGAAAUCCUGCAGACACGGUGUUAACUGACCGUCAGGAACAGUCGUCAGCGUAUUGAAGACAAUCGUUCUUGCUCACCUUCACACCUCGGAUAUUUUCAAACUGUGAUCACGUGUCAACUUAACAGGACGACAGCUGAAGAGCGUUGUCGUCUGAAGUAAAUAAAAACAACUCAGUUCCAAUGAAACGUCUCAUUUCGGUGGCAUUUCAAGUUUAAAGGGGCAGUCCCCAGAUUUUACCUUUUUAAAGUUGAUCCACAUGAUGGAGCCUGGGAUUGGUCACAGAGGGAAACCAUGUGAAAACGUGGUGGCCAGCUGUGGAUGAAGUGAAUCUAUAAGAGUUGACCUUUGCUGUGUCAA